UACGUAGGGGUCUAGCGUUGUCCGGAAUCAUUGGGCGUAAAGAGCUCGUAGGCGGUUCGGCAAGUCGGAUGUGAAAUCUCCACGCUCAACGUGGAGGGGCCAUUCGAAACUGCCGUGACUCGAGUCCGGUAGGGGAGUGCGGAAUUCCCGGUGUAGCGGUGAAAUGCGCAGAUAUCGGGGAGGAACACCAGUGGCGAAGGCGGCACUCUGGGCCGGAACUGACGCUGAGGAGCGAAAGCGUGGGGAGCGAACAGG
rnacentral:rRNA from 1 species